UACGUAGGGGGCAAGCGUUGUCCGGAUUUAUUGGGCGUAAAGAGCGUGUAGGCGGCCAUGCAGGUCCGUUGUGAAAACUCGAGGCUCAACCUCGAGACGCCGGUGGAAACCGUAUGGCUAGAGUCCGGAAGAGGAGAGUGGAAUUCCUGGUGUAGCGGUGAAAUGCGCAGAUAUCAGGAAGAACACCCGUGGCGAAGGCGGCUCUCUGGGACGUGACUGACGCUGAGACGCGAAAGCGUGGGGAGCAAACGGG
rnacentral:rRNA from 1 species